GCAAACUGGGCUGCGCUUCCGUGACUACAACCACAUUGUCGAGUUCGCGUUUGUGGAGUUCGUGUCUGCGCUUCCAUCGAAGGUACAUGAUUCCUAUUUGUUGUGAGAGUGAAAUGAUGGGCAGCAGCACCAACUGAGGGCUAUCAUUUACUACUGCUAAUUGGCGUUGCUGCGGAAGCGC